rnacentral:rRNA from 1 species
AAAGGAAUAGACGGGGACCCGCACAAGUGGUGGAGCAUGUGGUUUAAUUCGAAGAUACGCGAAGAACCUUACCUAGCCUUGACAUUGAUAGAAUACUGUAGAGAUACGGUAGUGCCCUUCGGGGAGCUUGAAAACAGGUGCUGCACGGCUGUCGUCAGCUCGUGUCGUGAGAUGUUGGGUUAAGUCCCGCAACGAGCGCAACCCUCGUUCUUAGUUGCUAGCAGGUUAAGCUGAGCACUCUAAGGAGACUGCCUUCGCAAGGAGGAGGAAGGUGAGGACGACGUCAAGUCAUCAUGGCCCUUACGGCUAGGGCUACACACGUGCUACAAUGGGGCGUACAGAGUGUUGCGAUACCGCGAGGUGGAGCCAAUCACUUAAAGCGUCUCUCAGUUCGGAUUGGAGUCUGCAACUCGACUCCAUGAAGCUGGAAUCACUAGUAAUCGUAGAUCAGCAAUGCUACGGUGAAUACGUUCCCGGGUCUUGUACACACCGCCCGU